rnacentral:rRNA from 1 species
UCCUGGGAGGAUAAACAGAUUGAGAUCUCUUUUUUGAUUCUGUGAAUGAUGGUGAACGUCUGUCCUUAGUUGGUGAAGCGAUUUGUCUGGUUAAUUCCGAUAACAAAAGAGACUCUAGCCUAAUAAAUAGAUGUGUGGUUCUGCGCACCUUCCACCCUUCUUAGAGGGACAAGCGGCUCCUAGCCACACGAAACAGAGCAAUAACAGGUGUGUGAUGCCCUUAGAU